GACGAACGCUGGCGGCGUGCUUAACACAUGCAAGUCGAGCGGAGCGGCGAACGGGUGAGUAACGCGGGAGUAACUGCCCCCCUCUCUGGGAUAACAGUUGGAAACGGCUGCUAAUACCGGAUAGUGGGGGAUGACUCGCGGCCUAGCAGCUUGUUGGUGGGGUAGUGGCCUACCAAGGGGACGACGGGUAGCAGGCCUGAGAGGGCGACCGUCCACAUUGGGCUGAGAUACGGCCCAACCUCCUACGGGAGGCAGCAGUGGGGAAUAUUGCACAAUGGGGGAACCCCUGAUGCAGCAACGCCGCGUGGGGGAUGAAGGCUUUCGUGUUGUAAACCUCUUUCGCUAUCGAAAGGGUAGGUGGAGAAGAAGCGCCGGCUAACUACGUGCCAGCAGCCGCGGUAAUAC
rnacentral:rRNA from 1 species